UCCCGCAUAGCUCAACGGCAGAGCGCCGGAUUGUUAAUCCGGAUGUUAUUGGUUCGAAUCCAGUUGCGGGAGC
rnacentral:tRNA from 1 species